rnacentral:rRNA from 1 species
UACAGAGGGGCAAGCGUUGUUCGGAAUUACUGGGCGUAAAGGGCGCGUAGGCGGCCCGCUUAAGUCGAACGUGAAAUCCCCGAGCUCAACCGUCGGGAACUGGCGUCCGAUACUGGUGGGCUUGAAUCCGGGAGAGGGAUGGCGGAAUUCCGAGGUGUAGCGGUGAAAUGACGUAGAUAUCUGGAGGAACACCGGUGGCGAAGGCGGCAUCCUGGACCGGUAGUUGACGCUGAGGCGCG